UUCUAAAAGGAAGGAAACAUGUUUUUACUACUAAAAGAUAGUUUAACUGUGUCUUCAGCACCUAAAAGCAAGAAACCAUUCAGAUGAAUGAACAACAUGCAAGUAUAUUUCAAUGUAACCC